CGCAGUCCCUGCCACAACUUCCCCUCCUCGUCCGUCUCGCGACCUAGGUUCUCCUCCCGCGACGGAGCGCCUACGCCGCCGCCGUCCCUCGCCUCGCCGCCGCCGCCCUCCUCGCCGCCGCCGCCCUACUCGCUGCCUCCGCCGCCCCUCACCUCGCUGCCGCCUCGCCGCCUCCUUUCCCUAGCAUCACUGCUUCCUUCCCCUAGCCUCGCCGCACCCGGCCUCAACUCACAAAGAUUCAACUUUUUUACCUAGACGUUGAGAAGAAACCCAAUCUGAUGGCGGUAUUGGCGGAUCCGGUGGUGGGGUUUCUGGAUCCAGUGUUGGAGGACAGGAGCGCCUCUCCGGGAGCGACAACGAGCUGUUGCUGCCUGCCGGACGCCACCACUCUGCGAUCUCGAACCAUCUGUCGAACGGGCGGGUGCGGUGCUUAUGUCGCCGGAGAGGCCGCCGGCGUCUUCCUGCUGCACGGCCGUGGAACCACGAUGGACACGCUCACCAUCAAGCACUGCUCGGAGGCAAGCCAGGUUGCUUUUGGGGCUGAACUGUGCAUGCCCUCUUGAGGCCAUUUCUCUGCCUGGAGCCACGGCAGCUCUUGCAGAAGCGCAUAAUUUUGAUGUGCAGCUCUCUGCCUGGGGCUGAACUCUAUAUGUCGGCUAAGGGCUAGCUCUUAUGAGUAUCUGAUGUUCAAAAGGUAUGUAGACAUCAUCUUCGUCAAGUGGAGUGUAGUUGAGGUCAAGUGGGGCGUUAUUGAGGUCUGGGAGCACCAUAGUGAACUUGCUGAUCAGACCGGCGAGGAGCAGCUGAAAGGUAGACCGGCGAGGAGCAGCUGAAAGGCAGACCGGCGAGGAGCAGCUGAGAAGUGAUGAGUUCAGGCAGAUACGGCCUUCUUGAUGUGUUAUUAUCUGCAAACAGGUUGCCAGGGAAGGUGGCCAUGUGGACCAGCACAAGACAAAAACUGAUGACUGGGAUUUGCAUGAUAUCACUCAAAUUUGCAUGAUAUCACUGGGAUUUCUUGCCACCAUUUAUAUUUCUGUGAAACACCAUGAGAAAAAAAGGAAACUAAUCACCCAUUACUGAGUCUGUACAUAAGGAAAGUAAUCACCCAUUACUGAGUCUGUACAUAAGGAAAGUAAUCACCCAAAUUUGCAUGAUAUUACUCAAAUUUGCUUGCCAAUAUUUGCUCUAUGAAAUAAGGAAAGUAAUCACCCAAAUUUGCAUGAUAUUACUCAAAUUUGCUUGCCAAUAUUUGCUCUAUGAAAUAAGGAAAGUAAUCACCCAAAUUUGCAUGAUAUUACUCAAAUUUGCUUGCCAAUAUUUGCUCUAUGAAAUAAGGAAAUUAAUCACCCAGCUGAUUCCAAGUUUGGUGGGAAUUGUAGGUACCUUUCCUUCACCGACAAAUUCACUGGAGUUGCAGCAGCUGCUGCCUUCCCCUUUUGGCGACGCACUCGCCAGACGUGGAUAGUGGCGGAGGAGCGGACGCCCUCGGCUAAGAGCAGCGGAUGGCGAGGAGGUGGAGAACUAUGGCCUCCACGUUCGUUGAAGCGACAGCGAGCGCACGGAGGACCCUGCGACGGCGGCCCCUGCGACAGCGACCAGACCAGCGGACGGCGGCCGGAGGUGGAGCUGCUCACGGCGGCACCUGCGCGUGGUCGCGGCGGCCCCUCGGACGGUGGGCGGAGCGGCGGCUGGGGAUGGAGCUGCUCACAGCGGCCCCCGCGCGUGGUCGCGGCGGACGGCGGCCGGAGAUGGAGCUGCUCACAGCGGCCCCCGCACGUGGUCGCGGCAGCCCCUCCGACGGCGAGAAGAGCGGCGGACGUGGAGCUGCUCGCGGCGGCUGGUGGAGGGCGCCGACGAGCUCGUGGAGGGCGCCGGCGAGCUAGUGGAGGGGUCCGGCGAGCAUGUGCAGGGGCGCCGGCGAGCUCGUGCAGGGGUGCCGGUGAGCUCGUGCAGCGCGGAUCGCGGCCAGAUCGUGGCUGGAUCACGCGCGCAGCGCUGAUUGCGUGAGUUGUUUCCGUGCGCUGAUUGUGGGGUGUUUGUUGGGCUGAUUUCAAAGUGUAAAGGGUUUUUCUGUAAAAUGGUCAACAGUUCAAAACAUUUCUCCCCCGCGCAGCUUUUUUCGGGACGGAGGGAGUAUUAU